GACGAACGCUGGCGGCGUGCCUAAUACAUGCAAGUCGAACGCAGUGGGGACGGGUGAUUAACACGUGGCUAACCUCCCAUCAGAGGGGAUAACACUUGGCAACAGGUGCUAAACCGAUACUGAUGGAUGAACCCGCGGUGCUUUAGCUAGUUGGUGAGGUAACGGCCCACCCAGGCCACGAUGCAUAGCCGGCCUGAGAGGGUGAUCAGCCACACUGGGACUGAGACACGGCCCAGACUCCUACGGGAGGCAGCAGUAGGGAAUCUUGGGCAAUGGACGAAAGUCUGACCGAGCAACGCCGCGUGAGUGAAGAAGGUUUGCGGAUCGUAAAACUCUGUUGUUAGAGAAGCGGUAUCUAAACAGAAAGCCACGGCUAACUACGUGCCAGCCGCCGCGGUAAUAC
rnacentral:rRNA from 1 species